UACAGAGGUGGCAAGCGUUGUUCGGAAUUACUGGGCGUAAAGGGCGCGUAGGCGGCCUUCUAAGUCUGACGUGAAAUCCCCAGGCUUAACUUGGGAACUGCGUCUGAUACUGGAAGGCUUGAGUGCGGGAGAGGGAUGUGGAAUUCCAGGUGUAGCGGUGAAAUGCGUAGAUAUCUGGAGGAACACCGGUGGCGAAGGCGGCAUCCUGGACCGACACUGACGCUGAGGCGCGAAAGCUAGGGGAGCAAACGGG
rnacentral:rRNA from 1 species